rnacentral:rRNA from 1 species
GAAAGUAAGUAAGGGCGUAUGGGGGAUGCCUAGGCUCUUGGAGGCUAAGAAGGACGUGGUAAGCUGCGAAAAGCUGCGGGGAUUUGCAAACGAGACUCGAUCCGCAGAUAUCCGAAUGGGACAACCCGGCAGGUAGAAGACCUGUCACACCGCGAGGUGAGCUAACCCUCUGAACUGAAACAUCUAAGUAGGAGGAGGAAAAGAAAGAAACAUCGAUUUCCAAAGUAGCGGCGAGCGAAAUGGAAGAAGCCCAAACCGAUAUUGUUACGGCAAUAUCGGGGUUGUAGGACUGCAAUAUUCAAUUAACAAUGAACUGGAAUGGUCUGGAAAGUCCAUCCAUAGAGAGUGAAAGGCUCGUACAGGUAAGUUUGUUAUGCGAUAGCAGUAUCCUGAGUAUGGCGGGACACGAGGAAUCCUGUCAGAAUCAGCCGGGACCACCCGGUAAGGCUAAAUACUCCCAAGAGACCGAUAGUGGACCAGUACUGUGAAGGAAAGGUGAAAAGAACCCCGAACAGGGGAGUGAAAUAGAACCUGAAACCAUACGCUUACAACCGGUCGGAGCAGCUUCGUGCUGUGACGGCGUGCCUAUUGAAUAAUGAGCCUACGAGUUACUAAUCACUAGCGAGGUUAAGUGCAAGGAUGCACGGAGCCGAAGCGAAAGCGAGUCUGAACAGGGCGUUUAGUUAGUGGUUGUAGACGCGAAACCUUGCGAUCUACCCUUGAGCAGGUUGAAGGUUGGGUAAAACCAACUGGAGGACCGAACGAAUAAGCGUUGAAAAGCUUCUCGAUGACUUGAGGGUAGGGGUGAAAGGCUAAUCAAGCUGGGAAAUAGCUCGUACUCCCCGAAAUGCCUUUUGGGGCAGCGUUGUAAUAAAGAGUCUACUGGAGGUAGAGCUACUGAUUGGAUGCGGGGGCUUCACCGCCUACCAAAUCCUGACAAACUCCGAAUGCCAGUAGUAUGAUUUACAGCAGUGAGUGACUGGGUGCUAAUGUCCAGUCGCAAAAGAGGAACAACUCAGACCAGCAACUAAGGUCCCGAAGAAUAUGCUAAGUUGAUCUAACGAUGUUUUGUUGCAGAGACAGCUAGGAUGUUAGCUUGGAAGCAGCUAUUCAUUCAAAGAGUGCGUAACAGCUCACUAGUCGAGCGACAGAGCGUGGAUAAUAAACGGGCAUCAAGCAUAUCACCGAAGUUCUGGGCGCGAGAGCGCGGUAGGGGAGCAUUCCAUUCAGCGUCGAAGCAGUUUCGUGAGGAAUUGUGGAGCGUAUGGAAAAGCAAAUGUAGGCAUGAGUAACGAUAAUGCGGGAGAGUAACCCGCACACCGCAAGACCAAGGUUUCCUGAUCAACGCUAAUCGGAUCAGGGUUAGUCGGGUCCUAAGGGUAAGCCGAACGGCGAUCUCGAUGGAUAAUCGGUUAAUAUUCCGAUACUAACAUAUACCUCGAUGGAGAGACGAAGGAACGUAAGUGCCGCCACCUGACGGAAUAGGUGGUUAAAGGGCGUAGGUAUAGGGGCAGAUUAAGAGUUAGUCCUUGCUGAAACCUGACAGUACAGAGAGCCUACGGGCAAUUUGAUAGAGCACCCAAGUCGACUUCCGAGAAAAUCUUCUAAGUUAUAGUAUAUGUUACCCGUACCGUAAACCGACACAGGUGGUCGAGGAGAGUAUCCUAAGGUGCUCGAGUGAAUCACGGUUAAGGAACUAGGCAAAUUAACCCCGUAACUUCGGGAAAAGGGGUCCCUAUGAAAGUAGGGCGCAGCGAAGAGGUCCAGGCGACUGUUUAUCAAAAACACAGGGCUCUGCAAAUUCGAAAGAAGACGUAUAGGGCCUGACACCUGCCCGGUGCUGGAAGGUUAAGAGGGGAUGUCAUCGCAAGAGAAGCAUUGAAUCGAAGCCCCAGUAAACGGCGGCCGUAACUAUAACGGUCCUAAGGUAGCGAAAUUCCUUGUCGGGUAAGUUCCGACCUGCACGA